rnacentral:rRNA from 1 species
CUGAAGGAACGUUGAAGACGAUGACGUUGAUAGGCCGGGUGUGUAAGCGCAGCGAUGCGUUGAGCUAACCGGUACUAAUGAACCGUGAGGCUUAACCUUACAACGCCGAAG